GGCCCUGUAGCUUAGCGGAAGAGCACUGGUUUCCUAAACCGGAGGUCGCAGGUUCGAAUCCUGCCAGGGUCG
rnacentral:tRNA from 1 species